GGAGUCCAACCACAGAUCUGCUCCUCUUACAGGGAAAUCGGGAGCACCAACCGUGCCUUGCUGCCCUGGCUGCUUGAGCAGAGGCACAAGCACAACAAGGCCUGCUGCCCACUGGAGGGGGUCAGGCCAUCACCCCAGCAGACUGAGUAUCGUAAUAAAUGUGAGUUUCUGGUUGGCGUCGGGGUGGAUGGGGAGGAUAACACCGUGGGCUGUCGGCUCGGCAAGUACAAGGGCGGGACGUGUGCUGUGGCAGCCCCGUUUGACACCGUGCACAUCCCCGAAGCCACCAAGCAGGUGGUGAAGGCCUUCCAGGAGUUCAUCCGGUCCACUCCAUACUCGGCAUACGACCCAGAGACAUACACAGGCCACUGGAAGCAGCUGACUGUGCGCACCAGCCGCCGCCGCCAGGCCAUGGCCAUUGCCUACUUCCACCCCCAGAAGCUGAGCCCUGAGGAGCUGGCAGAGCUGAAGGCCUCCCUAGCGCAGCACUUCACAGCAGGGCCAGGCAGGGCCAGUGGAGUGACCUGCCUCUACUUCGUGGAGGAGGGACAGCGGUAAGGAGCCUGAGUGGGGCAGGGCAGGUCCCUGCAGGGACUGUGACACUGAAGGACCCACACCUCCACCCACAGAAAGACUCCUAGCCAGGAGGGCCUGCCCCUGGAGCAUGUGGCUGGGGACCGGUGCAUCCACGAGGACCUGCUAGGGCUGACCUUCCGGAUCUCUCCACACGCCUUCUUCCAGGUGAACACACCCGCAGCCGAGGUGCUCUACACAGUCAUCCAGGACUGGGCCCAGCUGGAUGCGGGGAGCACGGUGCUGGACGUGUGCUGUGGCACUGGCACCAUUGGCCUGGCCCUGGCCCGGAAGGUAAAGAGGGUCAUUGGGGUCGAGCUAUGCCCAGAGGCCGUGGAGGACGCCCGGGUGAACGCCCAGGACAAUGAGUUGAGUAAUGUGGAGUUCCACUGCGGGAGGGCCGAGGACCUGGUGCCCGCCCUGGUGAGCAGACUGGCCUCCCAGCACCUCGUGGCCAUCCUGGACCCACCCCGUGCUGGCUUGCAUUCCAAGGUGAUCCUCGCCAUCCGCAGAGCUGAGAACCUCAGGCGGCUGCUGUACGUCUCAUGCAACCCCCGGGCAGCCAUGGGCAACUUUGUGGAGUGAGUGUCUGCAGGGGCC
rnacentral:sRNA from 1 species